UAGGGGAUCUUCGGCAAUGGACGAAAGUCUGACCGAGCAACGCCGCGUGAGUGAAGAAGGUUUUCGGAUCGUAAAACUCUGUUGUUAGAGAAGAACAAGGAUGAGAGUAACUGUUCAUCCCUUGACGGUAUCUAACCAGAAAGCCACGGCUAACUACGUGCCAG
rnacentral:rRNA from 1 species